GACGAACGCUGGCGGCGUGCUUAACACAUGCAAGUCGAGCGGAAAGGCCCUUCGGGGUACUCGAGCGGCGAACGGGUGAGUAACACGUGAGUAAUCUGCCCUUCACUCUGGGAUAGCCACCGGAAACGGUGAUUAAUACCGGAUACGACCACCGUGGGCAUCCACUGGUGGUGGAAACUUUUUUGGGUGGGGGAUGUGCUCGCGGCCCAUCAGCUUGUUGGUGGGGUAAUGGCCUACCAAGGCUUCGACGGGUAGCCGGCCUGAGAGGGUGACCGGCCACACUGGGACUGAGACACGGCCCAGACUCCUACGGGAGGCAGCAGUGGGGAAUAUUGGACAAUGGGCGGAAGCCUGAUCCAGCAACGCCGCGUGAGGGAUGACGGCCUUCGGGUUGUAAACCUCUUUCAGCACCGACGAAGCGCAAGUGACGGUAGGUGCAGAAGAAGGACCGGCCAACUACGUGCCAGCAGCCGCGGUAACAC
rnacentral:rRNA from 1 species